rnacentral:rRNA from 1 species
GACGAACCGUGCGAACGUUAUUCGGAACCAUUGGGCUUAAAGGGCGCGUAGGCGGCGGCGUAAGUUGGAAGUGAAAUCCCAUCGGCUCAACCGUGGAAUUGCUCCCAGUACUGCGUCGCUCGAGGGGGAUAGGGGUCUGCGGAACUACCGGUGGAGCGGUGAAAUGUGUUGAUAUCGGUGGGAACGCCAGUGGCGAAAGCGGCAGACUUGACCCUUCCUGACGCUGAGGCGCGAAAGCUAGGGGAGCAAACGGG